GACGAACGCUGGCGGCGUGCUUAAUACAUGCAAGUCAACUGAACUUGAAGUAGCAAUAUUUCAAGGGAGGUGGCGCACGGGUGAGUAACACGUAGGUAAUCUGCCUUUAGGUCUGACAUAAUUCCGCGAAAGCGGGACUAACUUCAGAUGAUGCAGCGGCUUGACAUCGAGACAGUUGUUAAAUCUUCGGAGCCUAAAGAUGAGCCUGCGUCUGAUUAGGUAGUUGGCGGAGUAAAAGCCCACCAAGCCUGCGAUCGGUAGCUGGUCUGAGAGGAUGAUCAGCCACACUGGAACUGAGACACGGUCCAGACUCCUACGGGAGGCAGCAGUGAGGAAUAUUGGUCAAUGGACGCAAGUCUGAACCAGCCAUGCCGCGUGAAGGAUGAAGGCCUUCUGGGUUGUAAACUUCUUUUAUUGGGGAAGAAACUACGGUUUCUACUGUAGCCGACGGUACCCAAGGAAUAAGCACCGGCUAACUCCGUGCC
rnacentral:rRNA from 1 species